GACGAACGCUGGCGGCGUGCCUAAUACAUGCAAGUCGAGCGGAUGGAAGGAAGCUUGCUUCCUAAAGUCAGCGGCGGACGGGUGAGUAACACGUGGGCAACCUGCCCCUAAGAUCGGGAUAACUUCGGGAAACCGGAGCUAAUACCGGAUAUGAUUAUGUCUCACAUGAGACAUAAUGGAAAGACGGUUUCGGCUGUCACUUAGGGAUGGGCCCGCGGCGCAUUAGCUAGUUGGUGAGGUAACGGCUCACCAAGGCGACGAUGCGUAGCCGACCUGAGAGGGUGAUCGGCCACACUGGGACUGAGACACGGCCCAGACUCCUACGGGAGGCAGCAGUAGGGAAUCUUCCGCAAUGGACGAAAGUCUGACGGAGCAACGCCGCGUGAGUGAAGAAGGUUUUCGGGUCGUAAAGCUCUGUUGUUAGGGAAGAACAAGUAUCGGAGUAACUGCCGGUACCUUGACGGUACCUAACCAGAAAGCCACGGCUAACUACGUGCCAGCCGCCGCAGUAAUAC
rnacentral:rRNA from 1 species